GAAAAGAAAAAGAACUCAUUAAGGUGCAUUUGAAUUUGAUAAGUCAAAAAAAGUAAUUGGAGUGCCUCGAUUUGCUCAAAAAAGUGAUACUAGUCCGUUUGAAUCUAGAAAAGCAAAAAAAGUGUUUGAAGUGGCUCAAGGUGCUAAGGAAACUGAAACUAGUCUGUUUGAAUUUGACAAGGCUAAAAAAGUGACUGAAGUGUCUCGGCAAGAUCAAAGAAGUGAUACUACUAUUUUAUUUUAUUUGUGUAACUUUUUUUAGUAAGCUGAAUUGAUUUCUUGGGCAUUUUGACUUACAGUUAG